CCAAUGAAUCAAGGUGUGAUCUUGAGCUGC
rnacentral:piRNA from 1 species